GGUAUUUUGACCGUGCAAAGGUAGCAUAAUCAAUAGUUUUUUAAUUGAAAGCUGGAAUGAAAGGUUGGAUGAGAAAUAAGCUGUCUCUAUUUAAUUUUAUUAGAAUUUUAUUUUUAAGUUAAAAAGCUUAAAUUUUGAUAGAAGACGAGAAGACCCUAUAGAGUUUUAUUUAUUUAUUUAAUAAGAUUAUUAGUAUAGAUUAUUUUUAUUUAAAAAAUAAAUUUAGUUGGGGUGAUUGAAAAAUUUAAUAAACUUUUUAUAUAUUUAUACAUUAAUAUAUGAAUGCUUGAUCCUUAGUUUAAGAUUAAAAGAUAAAAUUACCUUAGGGAUAACAGCGUAAUUUUUUUUGAGAGUUCUGAUCGAAAGAAAAGAUUGCGACCUCGAUGUUGGAUUAAAAUAAAAUUUUGGUGUAGAAGCUAAAA
rnacentral:rRNA from 2 species